GUGGAGGAAUAGACGCCAUUUCGUGCCUUCAAGACCUUACUGGUUGUUGGAAAGAGGUUUUUUUUGCCUGCCAUCAAUCUCCUCUUUUUUUAAAGAGGCACUGACUCUAAAAUGAGUUGCCCAUGAAAAAAGAAAAGAUGAGAGCACUGCCUCUAAAAUGAGUUCUCCACCUCCUGGAUCAAGCUGUGUGUCUAUGAGUGAGAUGUACAUAAGCAAUUUCCCCCUCUGUAUCCAAGUGAUGCAACAGUGUCCUUUGACCUCAGGAAGAGACAGAGUUCAGAGUCUCCAGAAC